UAAAAAAGUGUGGAUUGUUAGAUUUUUCAAUUAUCAUUUAUGAAACAAAGUAUUUAUUUUAAUAUGUAGUAAAAGGAGACAUAAAAAAUAAAAGUGAAGAUAAAACAAAAUAAAAUAUAAAAAAUAAAACAAUAUAAAGAAAAUACAUAUAAAUGUCAUUUACAGUAUACAUGAAGUCCAUAUGAACUUCAAGUAUGAGAUAUUAGCAUGGAAAGGUCACUACGGUACACAUUAGCAUGAAAGGAGAUAUGGAUGAGUCAUUUUCGGUACAACAGUGCCCAUAUGAAUUUUGUUGCUAUUAUGUUUUAUAAACUUUAAAUCCUUAUCGUGACACAUUAGAAAGCCAAAUUAAACAAUAUAGAAAAAAGAACACUUAACCUUAACAUAAGUUACUCACACUAAACAAUUAUAUACAAUCGAGACAACACACAAAUAUCAAAACGCCAAAGCAUAUUAGCAGAAAAAAAGAGAUCACGUCAUCCUCCAAUAAUGAAUCAAAGUAAAUGCAACUUAAAAAUAAACAUU
rnacentral:lncRNA from 1 species